rnacentral:lncRNA from 1 species
CACAAUCGAGUUACACAGUAUUAUUUUACUCAUCCGUUCUAAAUUGUAGGUCGUUUUAGUUUUUCUAGGUGCAUUUACUAUGCACUUAGAUAAAGUAUAUGUCUAGAUGCAUAAUAAUAUUUAUCAACCUAGAAAAGGUAAAACGACAAGGGAGGAGCAAGUUACAUAAUUUGCGACCGCACUAGAGUUUGGAAGCUGUAGGAUUUCCGACAAGUGACGGUACCUGCCUGGUAUCAGGUGGCACCCUUAUCAACUAUCAGAGCGACUAGCUGUGCAGCAGUCAUAGAUUGGUUGCUGAAGGUUCUAUUGUUGGUUCUUUCCAAAUCAUCCACCAGGUGAGGACUAUCAAAGAAUCGAGCGCCUGUCUGAACUGUGUGGCAACCAAUUUUCUGACCCGAAGCCACUAGUCAGCAAGCCAGAAGUCCCGGCCGUCCGGUGUCAGCGAGUUCCAGCCAGCCCUUGGUAGCAGCAACCAGCAAGAACCGUCUCUCUGCUGAAAGAGCAACCCAAAAGCAGGUGGGAGAUCGUUUCACAUUCCUGAAGGCAGCAAGCACAUAGAUCGUUAUCUUGCAAGUUGUGACGUUUUCUCCUGUCUGCGGUCCAACAUCGUUUGUAUUAUUUUUCAUAAUUACAGAAGCAGGUACAGUUGUCAGUCUACAAAAUUGUUGGUUGUAUGUUUAAAACAAUUCCCUCUUUCUAGUAUGUCUCCUAAGGAUAAAAUGGAGGCUCCAAAAUUAGUAAUAAUAAGAUGCAAGUGAUAGGUAAGAAGGAACUGUUGAGAUCAAGGAUGACUAUUGACAAAGAUAUUGAAAGAUUACAACAAACAUCUCAAAGAAAGACAUCUAUGAAUCCAUGCAUGAUUUGCUCAUAAAUACAUGAUCAAUGAGAUCACCUCUUUGUCAAUCUGGGCAUAGUUUAACUGCUCUGAUGAUGGGUGCCCGUUAAACUGAAAAAAACUGUACCUAAGCACCUCCCUGCCAUCAUACCGCACCCCCCCCCCCCCCCCCCCCACACACACACACCCCAAAACAUUGUUUCUGUGCUCAUCAGCAAGGGACGGAUUAAAUCCGUGGAAGUGGUCGCAAAUGCCAGAUGACUUAACUGGUGCCUGUGGUGACAUCUAGUUAGAUGAAUCUGUGCCAUAGUCAAGCAUUUCUUUUAUGUUUAGCUUGAUUGAAGGUCCCAUAGAUGAGCACAAGUAUGCCGUUUUCCAGUAUAUACCCUUAGCACCAGAUGGCUUGUUCCUCUCAACAGAGCGCUGUCAAUGGGGAUGGCAAGAUGUAUGUCAACAAAGAUUCUCAAUAACAUGAGCAGAGAUAAAUGUUUAUAGGAACAGAGAUCUUACAACAACAGCCAUGAAGUUUGUGAUAAGAUCUUCUUCAGGGAAGUCAACCUUGCCGAAGGGAAUAUGGACAAUUCCUGUUUUGUCAACUCUGUAUUCGACUUUACCCUUCUUGAACUCUUCGAUAGCCUGGAAAGAUUCGCACAAUUAGCAUUAUCUACUUCAUUCAUCUCCAAUGGCAAGUAUCGAUACAAGCAUGGGAUUAAAAUGCUUCAAUUUUACAUGGUACAUGAUUCAAAGAUUAAAUAAUAGUCAACCUAAAGGUCAUCUGGACCCUACUUUAAAUUCCAUUUUUUUUUGGAAGAUCUAUUAUUGUAGUCAUAACAAUACCAUUUGGCCAACCCAGAAUUCCAGACACUAUUUGAUUACAAUUAGAGGGAGGGAUAUGCAUCAAGGUCAGAUGUGUCCAGUACUGCAUCAAUUGCUGAAGCACUUAUAGUCUCUGCAAGGAUGGACACAGAAACACUAGACAAACUCAAUAUGUAACACAUCCCAUUUUCCAAAUGGAUAACAACAUACAUAGUCGUAGUCCUUUCGAUUUUUUGGUACUUUGAGCCUUGCUUCUGAAAUAAACUGAACAGUGAACACUGGUCCAGAUUUGAAGUCAUAGCCGAUCACUCAAUCAACUGCCUCACUACUUUUUUGCUAAUUAUUAUUGUCAGUGUAUUUUGUGUUGCCGUUACUGAGCGGAUCUGUGGAGUCAGGAAUUAAUUAAUAUUAUCACCAGUCUACUACCAUAAACCAACAGUGCUCCAUAUACUCAAACAUCUCUCGUCUAAUUUCCUCCAAUUUGAUCAGUAAAUACAACCUUUUCAGCUUUCUUAACUUUUGCUAGGCACGAUUAAACAAGCAGCACAUGUUCAAGAUAAUACCAUUCCUGAGCCUUCAAUUAUCAAAAUACAGGAAAGUAAAUACAACCGACAAAGGUAGCACAUGUUCUAGAAGUGCGGCUAAGUACUACAAUGCCAUGAACUUUUCAAUCUUGUCACAGUGCCCAGACCAAGUAAUAAAGGCACAAAUGAUUUACAAGCAAUAUUGAUGAAAAGUCAGGGGAAAACAAUCUUUGACUUCCUCAAUACCUGAGUAAUGUUCGGAGAAACAGUGCCAGCUUUGGGGUUAGGCAUCAGUCCUCUUGGUCCUAGAAUCUUACCCAAGCCAGCAACCUGAAAAGUAAUAGAAAUAACUCAGCUUGAUAAUUAUUUAAAGCAAAGCCCACACUGGAAGAUUCAAUGAGCAUGGUGAAUACUGUGACAAACAUAUACAAAGAUUUGAACGUUUAUUUUAGGCCUAGCUUUCAAACAACGAAGCAUCUCAAUAUGUAUUCCUGUAGUCGAAAGUUAGAUUGUUAUAGCUAAUCUAUUUUAGCUGAACAAAACAAUGAUUUUAACAGUUUACACAGCAAGACAUCAAGGCCUAUAGUAGUCGCAACUAAAUAUUCAUUUGAAAUUUUUUGCGACUGCCUCCAAUAUGAAACUGAAAUAAAAGCAGAACCUUUUCAAGGAUAGGGAAAAAUAACAGAAAAGGUACAAAAAGGGUGUCUGGCCAAACAAUCAAACAAUGGUUCAGUGUAUUCUUCCUGGAAAUAUUCAUAAUGUAAAAUUUUAUACUAGUGACAGGCCAUGAUAACUAUUUGGUCAAACCUCAGCUAAAUGAUUGAUGAAAUUGCAACGUGAUAGAUCAUCUUCACCAAGCAAGCAAAUAUUUCAAUCAUGAAUGCCACAGCUAGUUCUACUUCCAUAUUUCAUACCUUAGGCAUCAUAUCAGGUGAUGCAAUCAAUUUGUCAAACUCCAUAAAUCCUCCUUUUAUUUGUUCGAUCAACUCAUCUCCACCAACUAUAUCAGCUCCUGCAGCUCUAGCUUC